UCCCUGAUGGGAGAAUCAUCAAUUUUGCCAACAAAGAAGCCUGGUGGAUGUUUGUUUACAGUCUGAUGAUGGGACAUCAUGCUCUGCAUCUUCAAAGUUUGCCUCCUCAUUAUUUUUCAUACCCAGUAAUGUGAAGUAUGCUUAUAUCUACUAUAACUGAACCAACCUGGUGCUCUUCAUUUAUGGAGGCUGUUGAGUCUGUUGGAUGUUGUGUAUCUCGUGUUCUCUGGGCUUUGUUGUCCUCAGUCUUUUUGCAGGACCAGAAAACAAAACCAGGAGGCGCGUAAAUGUUUCUUCUCCAUGAUGUUUCUUCAAAUGUUUCUUCUGGAUGAUGAUAAGACUGUGACACGGGAUGCCACCUUUGGUCUUGUGAUGAAGCAAAGCUCAGGAAGAAGUGGGAUUAAAUGGUACCCACAUGUGUGCUGCUGAGAAGGAUGUACAGGGGCACCUGCAGCCAAAUCCAAGCCUCAGAGCAGAGCAGCAGUUUGUGCUCACAGAUGGUGACGGUGUGGAGAGACGGUGGUAUUUCCUCAGAAGAACGAGCAGAGUCACAAAGGACACCAGUCCAUCUCACAGCCUUGACUUGCUGACUGAUGCUCGUCUGCACUGCACAGAGGAAAUCAGCUGACCGAGGAGUGUUUCUGAGUGAGGGGGGAGGAGUCAUCAUCCAGAUGGGCAGCAUAUCAGUCUUGGACUGUCUAACCUGCCGGAGCAGCACUGAAUGACCACCACACAUGAGCAUGUUCCUGCAACAUUUAGCAUCUGAUCCUUCAUCUGUGUGCUGCUGCUUUUGCUGGAGAGGAAACUACACCAGUGUACUGGGAUGUUUCACCAACACGUGCCAGAUGCUGUUCCUUCAUGGUGACAUCACCAGAGACAGCCCCGCCCACCUCAGGACCUCGCCAUUGAUCAUGAUGAUUAUAAUGAUGACAGCGAGCGGAACUAAGACUGUAAAAAUCCACAACCAGAAUUUU